CAGCAGUCGCCGCGGUAAUACGAAGGGGGCUAGCGUUGCUCGGAAUUACUGGGCGUAAAGGGAGCGUAGGCGGACAUUUAAGUCAGGGGUGAAAUCCCAGAGCUCAACUCUGGAACUGCCCUUGAUACUGGGUGUCUUGAGUGUGAUAGAGGUAUGUGGAACUCCGAGUGUAGAGGUGAAAUUCGUAGAUAUUCGGAAGAACACCAGUGGCGAAGGCGACAUACUGGAUCAUUACUGACGCUGAGGCUCGAAAGCGUGGGGAGCAAACAGGAUAAGAUACCCCGGUAGUCCCUGUCUCUUAUAA
rnacentral:rRNA from 1 species